rnacentral:tRNA from 1 species
UUAAUUGAAGCCAAAUAGAGGCCUUUCAUUGUUAAUGAAAUUAAUGGUUAUAUUUAUUUACCCAAUUAAA